rnacentral:lncRNA from 1 species
AACACCCACUCAGUAAAAGGGACGGUGACGCUUUGCACAUUUCAUUUCAUUUUUACAACGAUCCUGAGAGACAGAAAUUAAUACCCUCAUUUUACAAAUGGGGAAUGAAGGUUCUGAAAGGAGUUGAUGCAAUUUGGCUAAAGUCACACAGUGGGUAAGCAGCCGAUGUGGGACUCAAACCCUGUCACACAACUGUGUACGCCAGCUCCGAAGAGAGCAAAACCUGGCAGAAGGAAGUUGGCCAGUGCAGGGUGGUACAAGCAAAAUACAAGAGUUCAGAAGCUAGGCUGGGCCUGGAGCGGACCAGUGUUGAGGAAGCCUUGUCUCCUCUCCUCCCCCCGGAAUGUGAGCAAUGUUUGAUGACGCAAGACCCAGGCCUUCAGCCGCCUCCAGGGUGAGACUGGGCCCUGGGUCUCUCCAAGCCUUGGUGGGCCCCGGCGGCUGGGGACUGUGUGUCCUUUGGAAUGAAUGGAGCCCACAGUGUGAGUGCAGGCCUGGCUAGGACCCAGGGGCAGAAGCAUGGGUACAGCCACUUCAUUGUGUGGGCACAGGAACCCACUGGGGCCACAUGCAAAUGAGCCAGCUGGUGGGGAUGGCGGCCACAGGCCAGGAGUCAGCCACGAGGAGGAACAGGAAGGAAGAUGCCCAGGAGGAGAGGCCCAGGAAUCUGAGCACGCAGCCUCCAUCCUCGGUCUGCUAGAAACCAAGAUCCUAGGGAUGGCUGCCCCACCUUUGCUCCCCAGUGGAGGUGCAGUCAGCAACGCUGCCGGGGUAUGAAGGAUUUGAACCUUCAAACGCUUGAUGGCCCAGACUCUCUCCAGAACAGAAAAAUCUGUGUGCACACACACUCAUGCACACAGUAUAGGCACAAAUGCAAGCGAUUCAGACCUAGGCUUGUAUCGCUGACAUAAUCGGUUCUCAAAACCUUUAUGACAACGUGCAAAUGAUUAUGAAGUCCCCUUAGCGUUUCGAUAGACCUACCACGUGCACAGCCAUUUCUCUUCCAGUAUCUUAGUUUAUUCCCACAGCCACCUUUUGAAGUCAACGAAAUUGCAAACUUCGUCCCUGGCAAUAUGUUUUACAGAUGAAGAAAUGAAGGUUGGGCCAGUAUCGGUGAUUUCAUUACGGUAAAUUGCCAGUUAGUGACAAAGCUGGCACUAAAAGCAAGGUCUUGUGACUUUUAGUCCAAACUCAUGCUCCACCUCAACCUCCAUCCCGUGGGCCUCUCCACAUAGCUGGGUUCAGGCAGGGUCUUCUCCUGCCUGGGAUAAGAGAAUGGAAGGCUUUUAAAUGGGUGAAUCACUUAGACCCAGAGAGAAUGCUUCAAUUUGGUUAUAAUAGAGGGGAGAGGAGUCUACCCAGACAAGCAAGGGAAAAAUGAAUCCGCUGUGUGAACUGGCAUGGCAGAGGCUGGGGAUUGGCCAACACGAUGUGCCCUAGGGCGAGUUGCUUGUCUAGUUUUCUCUUUCUGGGCACCAGAACCUUAGCUACAAUAGAUCUCUGGAGUAUAUUUGGCCUAGAUAUCUAUAUGAAACUUUUCUGUAGAGUUUUUUUUUUUUAAUUCAGAACUCCAUAAAAAUCAUAAAAACCAGGUGCUGUGGCUCAUGCCUGUAAUCCCAGAAUUUUGAGGGGCCAAAGUAGGAGGAUCCCUUGAGCCCAACCUAAGCAAUAUAUUGAAACCCCAUCUCGACAAAAAAAUAAUCAAAAAUUUAGCCAGGAAUAGUAGUGAACACCUGUGGUGGUCCCGGCUACUCAAGAGGCUGAGGUGGGAGGAUUACUUAGCUCAGGAGGUAGAGGCUACCAUGAGCUGUGAUCAUGCCAUUGCCUGGACUACAGCAUGAGACCCUUUCUAAAAAAAAAAAAACCCAAAAAAAUAAAAUAAGGAGACCAUUUUAACCCGCAGUGUAAGAGGACAGGAAGGCUGUGACCAUUAUUGAUAACCCCUACCCAAUAAAUUACUGAAACUUCUCACGCAGGUGAAACGAUAGGAGGAAAAGUUGGGAAAAGUAUGUCUGGUUUGUUCACCAGGAGACCUCAGCAACCAGCCCAGAGCUGGCCACACUAAGUGGGCACAAUGCACGAUGCUCCAUGUGAACACUGACUCUUCCUUUUCUCUUAGCUGGGCUGGAAAUAGACUUUGUCCUCUGACUUCCUUUGUCCUCAUCUGCAAACAGGGCAGAUGUGAGAGGCCUGGCAAGUGUCUAUGAUCUGGGUGAAAACAUCUGCUUCCAGCACACACGACACAAGUCAGCAGGAGCCAGGAAUGUUCCUGCACUCGCUACCGUUUGACUUCUUUCAUUAAUAACUUGGGAGGAUUGCAGGCAAGGGCUUCUGGCAGGAAUGAAAGGAAAUGAUCCAAGAAAAAAAUCAAACUCAUAAAUAAGUUAAAGUGACUGAUGGAAGGCUUUUGAUCUUUUUUUUUAAGUGAAAUAUGGGCAUUUCCCUUCAGAACUCCGCAGGUAGAGGGAGAAGCCAAGAGGGCUGACUUCUUAGGGGUUAGCAUGUAGACACACACUUUCAAACUAUGGCCCCUUCUCAUUGGUCUUCUGGGGAUCGGGAAGUCUCAGUUGGGCUGAGAGGAGGAUGGCAGAAUAAAGGAGAAAGAGCAUGAACUUUGGAAUCAGUCCAAGCUGGGUUUCAAACCAGUUGUGUGAUCUUGGGCAAGUUCAUUAUCCAAAUGUUACAUUCCUUUUGUGUCGACUGGGGGAAAGAAUGCCUGCCUCACAGAAUAGCUGUGGAAACUGAACUUGGUGAUGUGAACAUAUAUUAAUCAGGAUAAGUAUUCCUUAACUGCCACAAUGGACAAGUCUCCAAAGUUCUGUGGCAAAGCAUAACACCAAUCACCCGCUCCAAGUCCCAUGCAGGUUGAUGGAGCUCCCCUCCAUCCCAUGACUCAGGUAGAAGGACCGUACCUUUCAGCAGGUGAGACCAUGCUGGUCCACACCUGCUGUCCCAGCUUCAUUGUCAUUAGCACCCUCCCCCGUCCCUCUCAAAAGCGUCCCUUUUUGAGUGACAAAUUAUACAGUCACUUUAGGCUCAAAGAGCCAGACUCCCUCUGUCCUGUGAGGCCAUCUUCUCUACAUGUGGCAUCCAAGGUCGUCAUGGCACAAUGGUCCUUCAGUGCAUCAGUUCAACAGUGACAUAUGCCAUUCUGCCCCCCAUUUCAUCAGCUAGUCUGGUCACACGGCCUCACCCGACAGUCCUGCCAUCUUCCCACAUACCCAGCAAGGGGAGUGAGCCCGAUGCGGGUGUGCGGGGUGGAAUGAGGUUCUCAGUGAGUGUUUUGUCCCUGCUCUGCUCCUCCCACCAUUCCUCGGGAGGCACACAAAGUAGGAGGAGAAAAACAUCAUCUUGUGGACACGUCAGACCACAAAACACCAAAAGUUCUGAGAUGUACACAUUUUUAAGGCAAAAUGAAAUAUAGCCCUUUACUGUUUCCAAAGGGCUUUUGCGUUCAGGAUCUCACUUGAUCUUCCCAACAGCACCAUGAGGCAACACUGGAAUUUCCAUUUACAAGGGAAAACUGAGGUUCAGAGAGACACACACCCAUUUCACAAGGCUGCAAGAGAUGGAGCCAGGACUUGAACUCAGUCCUUCCACUUUGCCAUCCAGUUCUCAUUCCCUUUCUGCCUCUCACAGUCCUACAAAUGCAUAUGACAAUGCUAUGGACAUCCUCAUUAGUGAGCCCACAGAUGGAUUUCCUGAGUGCAGGACCAAGAAUCAGUGGUGAGGCCAGAGCUGAGGGGUAAAGGCUGUUAAUCUAGGAUCAAAUAAUAGAAAUGAAGGGAGUAUGAAGAGGCCCCUUCCCUCACCUCUUUCUUAUUAUACUCAGGGAGACUGGGGCCCACGAAGACUUGCCUAAGGUCGCACAGCGAACUAGUACCUGAGACCACUGGCUUUCCUGAUUCCUAUUACAGUGUUCUUUCUGCUGCUCUAUUACAAAAUCAAAGGGGAGAAAAUGAAGAAUAGACUGCUUCCUUGGUUAUUGUGAAAAAGAGAGAAGCCAAUAUAGGCACAGGGGAACAAGAGGGCAUAUGAUCUCUGCCAUGUUCAUGGGAAGCCCAAGGACCCUUGGAAUACUAAAGAGUGGAGAAUCCCUGUAGGCUCAGGGGAGAUAGGAAGGCUUCAUAUUAUUUACAUGUGAUCCAGACUGUCAGCUCUCCAUUAAGAUCCUCUCUUCCAUGUGACUGGCAAUGUUAAGCCUUCCAGAGGAGAGAUGAAAACAAGUCAUUCUAGUUGGAAGCAACUGGAUGCUUGGCAGUGUAGCUGUCCAUCCAUUUGGUCCUUCUUCCAAAAUGUAUUUACUGAGCAGGUGUGUGUUCUCAGGCACCCUGCGGCAGGCAUUCUGGGCAUGCCAUGAUGAGAGAUUCAGCUCCUGUCCUUAGGAAGCUCCCAGUCUAGUUUGGGAGACAGCCAAUUGGGACACAAGGCACUAACCCAGCCUGAGUGGGAACUAAAAGGAUUUAUUUUCUAGAAAAGGUGACAUCUGAGCUGAGACUUGGAGUUGGUGAGCAGUUCUAGGUAUGCUGGAGCAAGAUUUGAGUUUGAUAUAAUGAGAGAUGAUGCAAUCCAGAAAGACACAAAGGAAUCAGCAUAUGAAGGACUUUGACUGCAGAGUCUGUAUGUGAUCCCAUAGGCGAUGGGGGCUACUGAAGACUGUGGAGCAGGAGAGUAAUGUGAUCAGAUUCAGGUUUAAGAAAUCUCUCUCCAGCAGCUGAUGAUGGGCGGGCUGAAGAUAGAGAUGAGACUCUAGUCUACAUUUCUCUGGAAGACACUUCCAGCACCAUAGUGCAGCCACCAUCGUCUCCCAUCUAAGUGACUACAACCAAGUCCAGAUUUGCCUCCUCCAGUCCAUUCUCAAGAGGUCAGUGUGACUGAUCCUUCCAGAACUCAAAUAGGAUCAUGUCUUCUUCCCCUGUUUAAAGCCUUCAGUGCCAUUCCACUGCCCUCAGACAGUCCUUGCAUGAUCUGGCAUAGGUUGCCUCUCAAAUUAGGUUCUUGAACUUUCUUUGUCUUCUGUGUGUCAACAAACUCAAUGUUCCUCAAAGGUAUAGUGUUCUCUCCUGUCUCGGGGCCCACAGACCUAUGCUUUUCUCUGUUCCCCCUUACUUCCCACAUCCCCAGCCUUAUCUCCCCAAUUCCACUCCUUCAAAUCUUAGCUUAGAUGUCACUUCCAUCUGGGAAGUCCUCUGGCCCCCAAAGCUAGAAGAGGUGUUUCUUAUCUAUGUUCUCACUGCAGCCUGCACCUGGCUAUAUGGUCGUUGCCUAUUUACUAGUCCAUACCCCACCAGACCACAACCACGUGAAGAUGCAACUAGAAAAACAGGACUCUCGUGUUGAUGCUCCAUCCCCAGGGCCUGGUACGGUAUCUGGCAUAUUUGCACAAGUAUUUGUUGACUGCACGAAUGGAGACAGGAGACCCACCACAGCCAUCCAGAUAUGAGAAGCAGAGAGCUGCGAUGAGGGCAGGCCAGUGGGAUGGAGCGGAGAGGAGCGCGGUGGUCAUUUGUGUUGAUGGAACUCAACAGUGUUGUCCGUGGGUCUAGCAACUCCUUGGCUCUCUCCACUACUUCCAUUGGCUGUUGCUAAGGACCCCAGCCUCUAGGGAUGAGACCUGGGGGCAGAAAACCAUAAUGUCAUGCGACAGACUGUAAGAUCAUCGUGCCUUAUUCACGUCUUCACGACAGCAUUUGUCAUUUAGGAUUCCAACAUCUCUUCAAGCUUCUGUCUUUCCCACUGGGCUGGAAACUUGAGGGCAAGGACUGAAGCUUAUGAGCAGGGUGGUACAGAGUAGGGUCCUGAAAGAGCUCAUUAAAUGCACCUGAACUUGGAAGAGACUCAGUCCCUGCCAUCGAAGACCUCACAGUUCAUUUCAGGUGGCACCUAUGGACACACAAGACUUUUUCAAGGUGGGCUUGAUAAUGACAGAUGACACCAUCACUGGGCCACAGUAAGAAUUAAAAGGGUUUGGACUGUGCUCUUGAGCACAGAGGAGGGGUCAUUGGUUCUGAUUUGGUGGCCUGUAGAGAGCUCCCCCGGUAUUGCACAAACAUGCCUCUGUUUCAGCGUUGUACAUUUACUGUCAGGGAGCAGGGUACUCACAGCACACUGACUCCUCUAACAAACUACCCCUGGGUCUCAGGGGCUUCAC